UACGAAGGGGGCGAGCGUUGUUCGGAUUUACUGGGCGUAAAGAGCGCGCAGGCGGUCGUUCAAGUCGCGUGUGAAAGCCCCCGGCUCAACUGGGGAGGGUCACGCGAUACUGAUCGACUCGAAGGCAGGAGAGGGAAGUGGAAUUCCCGGUGUAGUGGUGAAAUGCGUAGAUAUCGGGAGGAACACCAGUGGCGAAGGCGACUUCCUGACCUGUUCUUGACGCUGAGGCGCGAAAGCUAGGGGAGCAAACGGG
rnacentral:rRNA from 1 species